CUAUGGCGGAGCUGUGGGGAGGGGGAUCCGGGGUCCCUCAGGCCCCAAAUUUGGGCCCGUUUUGGAUCGCGGGGGGGGGAUGGGUGGGCCCGGACCCACAUUGCGGGGCGAGGAUGAGGGGGCGAGGGCUUAAAAUUGGGGGGGGGGAGUGGUUGGGAUCCGCCCGCACCGGAGCCGCCCGGUUCUUACCUCAGCGCCUCCAAGAUGGCGGCGGCGGGGAAGGGCGCUUCCGCCCGCGCGACGUCACUUCCGGUUCCGGAGCCCUCCACUUCCGGUCGGAGCCCUCCCUUUUCCGGCGCGGCACUUCCGGCGGCCAUGAUGGCGGCGGCGUCCCCGCGGCUGCGGCCGCUGCUCCGCGCGCUGCGGGCCCAGCAACUCCGGGCGCCGCUGUGGGCCCGCGGCCACAAUGGGAGGCGAGGCCUGGGCACGCAGGUGGGCGAAGUGGGGCGGCUGUGGGGCGGCUAUGGGGCGAUGUGGGGCGAUACAAGGUCCUAGGGGGCAGCUAUGGGGCGAUAUGGGGUGAUACAGGGCCACUAUGAGGUGAUAUGGGGCGCUACAGGGUGCUAGGGGGCAGCUAUGGGGCAAUGUAGGGUGCUAUAGGGCAAUAUAGGGCGCUAUAGGGCAGCUGUGGGGCAGUUAUGGGGCAAUAUAGGGUGGUAUAGGGCGGCUAUGGGGUGAUAUGGGGCGAUGCAAGGUCCUAGGGGGCAGCUAUGGGGCGAUAUGGGGUGCUAUAGGGCGGCUAUGGGGCGAUAUGGGGCGUUACAGGGUGCUGGAGGGCAGCUAUAGGGCAGCUAUGGGGCGAUAUAGGGCAAUAUAGGGUGCUAUAGGGCAGCUAUGGGGCAAUAUAUGGUGGUAUAGGGCGGCUAGGGGGCGAUAUGGGGCGAUGCAGGCUGCUAUGGGGCAGCUAUGGGGCAAUACAGGCUGCUAUAGGGCAGUUAUGGGGCGCUACAGGGUGCUAUAGGGCAGCUAUGGGGUGAUGUGGGGUGCUAGGGGGCAGCUAUGGGGCGAUAUGGGGCAAUAUAGGGUGCUAUGGGGCAAUAUAGGGCGCUAUAGGGCAGCUAUGGGGCAGUUAUGGGGCAAUAUAGGGUGGUAUAGGGCGGCUAGGGGGCGAUAUGGGGCGAUACAGGCUG
rnacentral:lncRNA from 1 species